rnacentral:rRNA from 1 species
UACGUAGGGGGCUAGCGUUGUCCGGAAUCAUUGGGCGUAAAGCGCGUGUAGGCGGCCCGGUAAGUCCGCUGUGAAAGUCGGGGGCUCAACCCUCGAAUGCCGGUGGAUACUGUCGGGCUAGAGUACGGAAGAGGCGAGUGGAAUUCCUGGUGUAGCGGUGAAAUGCGCAGAUAUCAGGAGGAACACCCAUUGCGAAGGCAGCUCGCUGGGACGUUACUGACGCUGGAGACGUGGAAAGCGUGGGGAGCAAACAGGG